GGUGAAAGUGGCGAAAGGGUGAGUAACGCGUGGGUAACCUACCUCUGUGAUGGGGAUAACCUGCCGAAAGGCGGGCUAAUAUCGAAUGUGGUGGCUCCGCGCAUGCGGGGUUUACUAAAGGGCGGGGAUCGCAAGACCUGUCGCACGGAGAGGGGCCCGCGUCCUAUCAGCUUGUUGGUGGGGUAACGGCCUACCAAGGCUAUGACGGGUAGCUGGUCUUAGAGGAUGGUCAGCCACACUGGGACUGAGACACUGCCCAGACUCCUACGGGAGGCUGCAGUCGAGGAUCUUUUGCAAUGGGCGAAAGCCUGACAAAGCGACGCUGCGUGGAGGAUGAAGGCCUUCGGGUCGUAAACUCCUGUCAUUCGGGAAAAAGAAGCCCGUCUACAAUACAGGCGGGAAUUGAUUGUACCGGAAGAGGAAGCCACGGCUAACUCUGUGCCAGCAGCCGCGGUAAUACAGAGGUGGCGAGCGUUGUUCGGAUUUACUGGGCGUAAAGGGUGCGUAGGUGGUUCCGUACGUCGGAUGUGAAAGCCCACGGCUUAACCGUGGAACGGCAUUCGAAACUGCGGAACUGGAGUGCAGGAUGGGAGAGCGGAAUUCUCGGUGUAGCGGUGAAAUGCGUUGAGAUCGAGAGGAACACCGGUGGCGAAGGCGGCUCUCUGGAAUGCAACUGACACUGAGGCACGAAAGCUGGGGGAGCAAACAGGAUUAGAUACCCUGGUAGUCCCAGCCCUAAACGGUGUGCAUUUGGUGUGGGGGGAAUUGACCCCCUCCGUGCCGUAGCUAACGCGUUAAAUGCACCGCCUGGGGAGUACGGCCGCAAGGUUAAAACUCAAAGAAAUUGACGGGGGCCCGCACAAGCGGAGGAGCAUGUGGCUUAAUUCGAUGCAACGCGAAGAACCUUACCAGGGCUUGACAUGUAGCUGCAUUUCCCGUGAAAGCGGGAAAGCCUUCGAGGGUGCUACACAGGUGCUGCAUGGCUGUCGUCAGUUCGUGCCGUGAGGUGUUAGGUUAAGUCCUGCAACGAACGCAACCCCUGUGCUUAGUUGCCACUGCCGGUGAUAAGCCGGUGAGCACUCUAAGCAGACCGCCCGUUUACGCGGGAGGAAGGUGGGGAUGACGUCAAGUCAGUAUGGCCUUUAUGUCCUGGGCUGCACACGUGCUACAAUGGCCGGUACAAAAGGAUGCAAGACCGCGAGGUGGAGCAAAUCCCAAAAACCGGCCCCAGUUCGGAUUGAAGGCUGCAACUCGCCUUCAUGAGGCCGGAUUCGCUAGUAACGGCGUAUCAGCUACGGCGCCGUGAAUACGUUCCCGGGCCUUGUACACACCGCCCGUCACAUCAUGAAAGCCGUCUGCACCCGAAGUCGCCACCCCGUUUACGCGGG
rnacentral:rRNA from 1 species